rnacentral:rRNA from 1 species
UCCUACGGGAGGCAGCAGUGGGGAAUAUUGCGCAAUGGGCGAAAGCCUGACGCAGCGACACCGCGUGCGGGAUGAAGGCCUUAGGGUCGUAAACCGCUUUCGGCAGGGACGAAGCGAAAGUGACGGUACCUGCAGAAGAAGGUCCGGCUAACUACGUGCCAGCAGCCGCGGUA